rnacentral:rRNA from 1 species
AACGAAGCAUAGGAGUGGAAUUUUUCGGAAGGACACAACUAUGACUGAGUGGCGGACGGGUGAGUAACGCGUGGGUAACCUGCCUCAUGCAGGGGGAUAACAGUUAGAAAUGACUGCUAAUACCGCAUAAGCGCACAAAACCGCAUGGUUUGGUGUGAAAAACUGAGGUGGUAUGAGAUGGACCCGCGUCUGAUUAGCUAGUUGGAGAGGUAACGGCUCACCAAGGCAACGAUCAGUAGCCGACCUGAGAGGGUGACCGGCCACAUUGGGACUGAGACACGGCCCAAACUCCUACGGGAGGCAGCAGUGGGGAAUAUUGCACAAUGGGGGAAACCCUGAUGCAGCAACGCCGCGUGGGUGAAGAAGUAUUUCGGUAUGUAAAGCCCUAUCAGCAGGGAAGAAGAGAGACGGUACCUGACUAAGAAGCCCCGGCUAACUACGUGCCAGCAGCCGCGGUAAUACGUAGGGGGCAAGCGUUAUCCGGAUUUACUGGGUGUAAAGGGAGCGUAGACGGCUUGAUAAGUCUGAAGUGAAAGGCCAAGGCUUAACCAUGGAACUGCUUUGGAAACUAUGAGGCUAGAGUGCUGGAGAGGUAAGCGGAAUUCCUAGUGUAGCGGUGAAAUGCGUAGAUAUUAGGAGGAACACCAGUGGGGAAGGCGGGCUUACUGGGACAGAAAACUGACGUUGAGGCUCGAAAAGCGUGGGGAGCAAACAGGAUUAGAUACCUUGGUAGUCCACGCGGUAAACGAUGAAUGCUAGGUGUUGGUGGGCAAAGCCCAUCGGUGCCGUCGCAAACGCAAUAAGCAUUCCACCUGGGGAGUACGUUCGCAAGAAUGAAACUCAAAGGAAUUGACGGGGACCCGCACAAGCGGUGGAGCAUGUGGAAAAAUUCGAAGCAACGCGAAGAACCUUACCAAGUCUUGACAUCCUCCUGAAUGAUGGAAAAAACCAUCAGGCCUUCGGGACAGGAGAGACAGGUGGUGCAUGGUUGUCGUCAGCUCGUGUCGUGAGAUGUUGGGUUAAGUCCCGCAACGAGCGCAACCCUUAUCAUUAGUAGCCAGCAGGUAGAGCUGGGGACUCUAGUGAGACUGCCAGGGAGAACCUGGAGGAAGGUGGGGAUGACGUCAAAUCAUCAUGCCCCUUAUGAUUUGGGCUACACACGUGCUACAAUGAGGUAAACAGAGGGAGGCGAAAGUGAGAGCUGGAGCGAACCCCAAAAAUAACGUCUCAGUUCGGAUUGUUUUUAGGAACUCGACUACAUGAAGCUGGAAUCGCUAGU